rnacentral:rRNA from 1 species
UUGGCCCAGAUCGUUUACCGUGAAAAAAUUAGAGUGUUCAAAGCAGGCAGAUCCAAUUUUCUGCCACCGAAUACAUUAGCAUGGGAUAAUGGAAUAGGACCCUGUCCUCCUAUUUUCAGUUGGUUUUGGCAGCGCGAGGACUAGGGUAAUGAUUAAUAGGGAUAGUUGGGGGCAUUAAUAUUUAAUUGUCAGAGGUGAAAUUCUUGGAUUUAUGAAAGAUUAACUUCUGCGAAAGCAUCUGCCAAGGAUGUUUUCAUUAAUCAAGAACGAAAGUUAGGGGAUCGAAGACGAUCAGAUACCGUCGUAGUCUUAACCAUAAACGAUGCCGACCAGCGAUUAGGAGACGUUGAAUACAAAACACCACCAUCGGUGCGGUCGUCCUUGGCGUCUCGGUUUCGGCCGGGGCGCGGGGAUGGCUUAGCCCGGUGGCACCGGUGAAUGACUCCCCUAGCAGCUUGUGAGAA